AUUUACUACUAGGGGAGCCCAAAAGGUGUGGGCUGAGAGGGAAGCAAGCACUUCCCGACUCUUAUGGACCUGAUCUGGAUAAUACCAGCGGAGGGAAGUAGUCGGACGUUUCC
rfam:Bacilli bacterium VT-13-104 contig073, whole genome shotgun sequence.